rnacentral:lncRNA from 10 species
CACAGCAGUUAUGUAUGACUUUGUGACCAAGUUCUGGGUAAUAGAAGGUGCGCAGAAGGGAUGUGUAUCACUCUCUGUCCUUACCCAUGAACUCCUCUGGUGCAAUUCUCCACACUCUCUCUUCUAAUUGGAUGCAAAGAUCCAGCAGAAGACCCCACAGAUCUAGGAGAAAGCAAGCCAACAAUGGGAGAAACUCAAGCCUCUGAAUGACAACAUAGAAGGCCACUCACAGUCCACAGGUCUUUUUUUUUUUCCAUGGGUUCUCACAAAGUGCACUUCUCUGGAUGGAGCAGGCUGGGGCUUCAGUUGAACACAGAUAAUUAUAUUAUCACAGUAUUUGACAAUUGGAAGAGACUUUAAGAUCACCUGACUCAAUGCCUUCACAGAAAGAGAAGCUGUCU